rnacentral:rRNA from 1 species
UACGUAGGCAGCAAGCGUUGUUCGGAAUUACUGGGCGUAAAGAGUGUGUAGGCGGUGCUCUAAGUCUGUUGUGAAAUCUCCCGGCUUAACCGGGAGGGUGCGUCGGAAACUGGAGUGCUUGAGGGUGGGAGAGGUAAGCGGAAUUCCUGGUGUAGCGGUGAAAUGCGUAGAUAUCAGGAGGAACACCGAUGGCGAAGGCAGGUCUCUGGGCUGACACUGACGCUCAUGCACGAAAGCGUGGGGAGCAAACAGG